CACACUUUUCAAUUCUUGCCUUUUGCACCAUGCAGACAGAAAUUUGAGUCUUCCUUUUGCACAUAUUAGCUGGGUGACUUCACUGAACCUCAGUUUCCUCUUCAAUAAAAUCAUUUCUGCCAGCAUUGGAAAUGUUGGCCUUGUCCAACUCAUUGUGUUAAAUUCCUAAACAAACUUUCAGGUAUGAGAAUGACCUGGCUGUAUGCCAGACUGGAGUCUGACAUCAUUGGCCUGUACAAGGUACUGGAUGAGCUAAUCCUGGCCAGAGGUGACCUGGAGAUGCAGAUUGAGAACCUGACUGAAGAACUGGCCUAUCUGAAGAAGAACCACAAGGAGGUCAGAAGUUGUUUCUUUCCUCCAAGACCCCAAAAUUACAGUUUCAAGUUUACAAAUCUGGAGUUAAAAUAUGUCCUGUUAAAGUGGUCACUUGUUUUAGAUGUGCCUGUGUGAACAUUACUGCUGGUGCUGUUGAUAAUGGUUCCGACUAAGGUUUAACAAAUUAGAGGAACUUUCUGAUUUUAUCAUUUUCAUUCUUAGGUAAUGAAUUAGGUAAUGAGAAUUCUAAUUAUCAUGAUUUAGUGAUUUUGAAAA